AAGAAAAAGGCCCUGUUUAGACAUAAAUUUCUUAAACUGCUCUUCUGUCAGCCUAAUUGGGUCUAUACUAAAGCUCCUUCUGAAAGAAAAUCUGCGUCUUACUUCACAACUGCAACUUUCUCCCGAGUUCACGGACCAACAAAGGCCUGGACAUAAAGAGAAGCUAAGGUCUGGCCACACCCCAGCCUGGAUGGAGCAGCCUGUUUGGUGGUGGCGCCCCGGCACCUGCAGCGUUCAGAAGCACAGGGCAGUUCUGACGGGCAGAAUCCCUGAUGUAUCUGUCGCUGUCCCUUCUCAUGGCUCAAGGGCGCCGGAGUACGCGGAAGGAGGCCUCCAAAGACACCGUCCCCUGCAGGUCGAGCUGGGUAAAGCAGGAAGCUGUUGUCCUGGUGGUCCCCUGAGAGGCUUCAAUAUUGUGAGACCAUUGCUGUCCUGGAACCACGAAAGACUUUGUAAUAAACGGAGAUGGCAGUGAAGUAGGCAAUGUGCAAUCUCUCUAAAUAGCUCCAGUGGACUAUAAGGAUAAUACAGCCUAUUGGUAACACAAAGCUAUCAAGGACCUCCAGGAACAGAAGGAGUAGUCUAUUUUAUUCAUUCAUUCAGUAAAUGAAGUACUAAAGAUACGAUGUGAACAAAUAAU